AGCGCUUCCUUACCUUCCCAGCAGCUCCCUUCAGCUGUCUAGAGAGUUAGACAGUGGAGCUGAAGGGAGCUGCUGGGAAGGUAAGGAAGCG